GACGAACCGUGCGAACGUUGUUCGGAAUCACUGGGCUUAAAGGGCGCGUAGGUGGUGAGGUAAGUCGGAUGUGAAAUCUCCAGGCUCAACCUGGAAACUGCAUUGGAAACUACCUUGCUGGAGGAUUUGAGGGGGGAUUGGAAUACUUGGUGUAGCAGUGAAAUGCGUAGAUAUCAAGUGGAACACCAGUGGCGAAGGCGAGUCUCUGGACGACUCCUGACACUGAGGCACGAAAGCUAGGGGAGCAAACAGG
rnacentral:rRNA from 1 species